rnacentral:rRNA from 2 species
GACGAACGCUGGCGGCGUGCCUAAUACAUGCAAGUCGAGCGGACCGACGGGAGCUUGCUCCCUUAGGUCAGCGGCGGACGGGUGAGUAACACGUGGGUAACCUGCCUGUAAGACUGGGAUAACUCCGGGAAACCGGGGCUAAUACCGGAUGCUUGAUUGAACCGCAUGGUUCAAUCAUAAAAGGUGGCUUUUAGCUACCACUUACAGAUGGACCCGCGGCGCAUUAGCUAGUUGGUGAGGUAACGGCUCACCAAGGCGACGAUGCGUAGCCGACCUGAGAGGGUGAUCGGCCACACUGGGACUGAGACACGGCCCAGACUCCUACGGGAGGCAGCAGUAGGGAAUCUUCCGCAAUGGACGAAAGUCUGACGGAGCAACGCCGCGUGAGUGAUGAAGGUUUUCGGAUCGUAAAACUCUGUUGUUAGGGAAGAACAAGUACCGUUCGAAUAGGGCGGCACCUUGACGGUACCUAACCAGAAAGCCACGGCUAACUACGUGCCAGCAGCCGCGGUAAUACGUAGGUGGCAAGCGUUGUCCGGAAUUAUUGGGCGUAAAGCGCGCGCAGGCGGUUUCUUAAGUCUGAUGUGAAAGCCCCCGGCUCAACCGGGGAGGGUCAUUGGAAACUGGGGAACUUGAGUGCAGAAGAGGAGAGUGGAAUUCCACGUGUAGCGGUGAAAUGCGUAGAGAUGUGGAGGAACACCAGUGGCGAAGGCGACUCUCUGGUCUGUAACUGACGCUGAGGCGCGAAAGCGUGGGGAGCGAACAGGAUUAGAUACCCUGGUAGUCCACGCCGUAAACGAUGAGUGCUAAGUGUUAGAGGGUUUCCGCCCUUUAGUGCUGCAGCAAACGCAUUAAGCA